UACGUAGGGACCAAGCGUUGUUCGGAAUUACUGGGCGUAAAGGGCGCGUAGGCGGCUUUUCAAGUCGGGCGUGAAAUCCCCGGGCUUAACCUGGGAAUGGCAUUUGGGACUGCAAAGCUUGAGUGUGGCAGAGGGGACUGGAAUUCCUGGUGUAGCAGUGAAAUGCGUAGAGAUCAGGAGGAAUACCGAUGGCGAAGGCAGGUCCCUGGGCUGACACUGACGCUCAUGCACGAAAGCGUGGGGAGCAAACAGG
rnacentral:rRNA from 1 species